GGAUUAGAUACCCUGGUAGUCCACGCUGUAAACGAUGUGUGCUAGGUGUUGGCCCGUUUGGGUCAGUACCGCAGCUAACGCGUUAAGCACACCACCUGGGGAGUACGUUCGCAAGAAUGAAACUCAAAGGAAUUGACGGGGGCCCGCACAAGCGGUGGAGCAUGUGGCUUAAUUCGAUGCAACGCGAAGAACCUUACCCGGGCUAAAUCACAGCUGACCGUCCCUGAAAGGGGAUUUCUCUUCGGAGCGGUUGUGAAGGUGCUGCAUGGCUGUCGUCAGCUCGUGCCG
rnacentral:rRNA from 1 species